AUCCUUUUAUGGUUUGUAAGUAUGAUGAUUGAGUUUUCAUGCUCAUGUGUCAGUUGUGCCUCCCUCAAGUCUUGUUACAACGUCAGCACAUUAUCUGUCACACA